UAAGCAGAGCCAGUCAUUUCUUAGUAUGCAUUGAACUCAUGCCAAACUAUUGUUUCUCACUAUUAUUGUCUAAAAGACAACGUGUACUAGAAAUGUGAGACAGGAAAUGUCCAUCUGACCUUAUUACGGUAGAAGGAAUUUUCCAGAGUCCAUAUGCUGAUGUAAUUAUUUUAAGAAUUAUUUUUAUUUUUUAAAGUGGUAGAUCCUUAGAACAAUUGUCUUUGCUGUCACCGGCAUAGCACAUGGCUUAUCAUCUUCCGUUUGGAGGAACAGAGCACUGUAAUUGCUGCAAUCAGGUUUUAUAUUAUUUUCUAAUUAGGUUUUAGGAGUUCUUUUUAUUUGCUUGGUUUAUUUGUGUGUGUGAAAUGUAACAUAUAUAUUUGUAUGUCUUAAGCUUUACUUCCUUUGGAAGGUCCUUAAUUUAUUUUACAUAGAAAAUUUUUCCUUUUUCCACAAAGCUAUGACCAUAUAACUUACUUCCUUCUGUUCCAGUAUUGUACUUUAUGUAAUUUCCUGUAAACAGCAGCAAACAACUUCAGUAUACACUGGCUGUUUGUUCAGUGUUCUUGCAGUACUUACAAUGGACAUUUCUCAGCAUAAUUAAUCUCUUUUUAAAAUUUGGCCCUAUUCUUGUCAGCACCAAUACUAUACUUUGAAAUGAAUGGAAAUGCAGUAGUCAUUGAAGGGAUACGAAUUAAAUCUUAAAAUGGGUCUAGGGAUGGGGUGACAAGGGAAAGAACUCUCACAAACCUGGUGCUUUGUUUCUCCUUUGUGAAGUGAAAAGCAAUGAGCUCUACUCUGUGAAAGAAAGGAAAUGGUGCUGACGAGCUUUUCCCCAACCACUGUCCACCUGUGGUUCAGAACUAGCAGAAGUCAACUAGUUAUUUAGUUUGCUAGCACAUUAAGUGUGACAUUUGAUUAUAUGAGCAUCAAGAACUAGAUAUUCAGGCAUAAUUCACGUCCUUUUUCUCUUUCAUUAUAAUGAGUAACUUUAAUUCUUGUUUUAUAUUUGCUUGAAUCCAUGAUCUGUUUUUAAUCCUGUAUCUUCUGUGUCUGACAGGCUCCAUUUCAUCCAUUUUUUAGUUUUUUUUCCAUAUAGUUUUACAAAAUCCUUUUUUUUUUUCAUAUAGUUUUACAAAAUCCCGCAAAUCCUUUUCUCACUAGUAGUACUAUUUCUAAUGCCAAUUUAAACCUUUUUAUUCCAGCAUACUUUGUGCAGAAUGAAUUAAGUGUAUCUAUAGAGAAUGAAUGAUUGGUAUUCAGCCAAGCUUUGCCUGUGUCUUUCCAUGACCAAAAACAAGUCAGGUGAAAAGGGAAAAAAAAAUCAGUGAGUCUGUUGUUUCAUCUUUAUGACUCUGAACAAUCUAUUUGUAUAUUUUGGGAAAAUUUUUUCUCAUUGAAUCACUGUGUAUAUUUAUCAUGUAUUCAACUGAUAGUUGAAUUUUCCUUAUAUAGCUAUAUGGUAAAAAGUUUUGAAUGAGAAACUACUUUUUAUAGCCAUUUCAGAAACAAGUGAGGUCAGUGAGCAUCUUGUUUUAGGAAGAGGGGGAUGGUGGGGACAUUGGACUGAAAGGAAGUCCUAUGUCAGAGGGCUCUGUGCACAUUUUCCUGAAGUACCUCAGCUAUGCUUAAAUGUAAUCUGUUAUUUUAACCAAUCAUAAUGGUUGCAUUUUGCUUUUUCUCAUAUAAAUUAUAAAUGUGAUGACUUAUAAAUAUGGCAAAAGUUUAUUUUUCAGGAUGCCUCUCCCUUCUCUAACUCGAACAGACUAAAUUCUGUUUCCAAAGACUUCAAAAGUGACCAGAUUAUUGUGAAAGGAGAAACACUGUUUUCGAGGGCUGCUGAUAAUGCCUGGUAGCCAGAAGAAACAGCCUGAAUCAUUCAAAGGUUUUCCACCUGGCAAAGAAAUGUGGUAAAAAUCUUGCCCAGAUCUGCAUGUGCUAAGCAUCCAGGUAAGUUGGAGCAUCAUAUUAAUGGCACACAGUGAAGAAACGAAAGGUAAAACUAUAAUGCAAUGUAUUUCUGUGCCUCAUGUUGAAGCUUCAUAUUCAAAGGGUAAAGGGACUUCAUUCUUCUUCUCCUUCCCCAGCUUGUCUAUUGCAGUUUUGUAUUGAAAUGUUCUCUGGAUUCAUAACAUAUUUAGGGACUACAUAAAGAAGAAAGACUUUGGAAUCAAAGGCAAGGUUCACCUAACACAACUUCUGUUAGAAGAAACUAGGAAAUCAGGAUCUAUCAAAGGCCCAGUGUUAAUCGGGACUGGUUUCUCACUGUGUUUUGAUUAGAAGAAUAUUGAACAGCAAACAUUUAAGGAUUUGUUUGACUGAAUAUCGACUUAAAGUUCUGAUCUCUAGUAAUGUCAGACGUAUUGCCUUGGUAAAUUGUACAGAAUCAAGUGUAAUUACUAUAUCAAAAAUCCACAGAAUGUGAAAGUAUAAAGGAAAACUAUCAGGAAACCAGCAGUUGUGAUUUUCUUCAGCAAUUCUUAAUUUGCUCAGCUAAAAACUUUGGAGUUAGACAUAUGGACAGCCCACCCCAAGGAAAGAAUCAGAGGAGAAGGGACACAAGACCCCAGAAACACACGAGGCACCUUAAUAUGCAUGCUGCAUCUCUCUAAAAUGGUGGAACCUGUUCAUCUGCUCUGGAGGGUGGCUGCCUGGGGCAGACAUACGAGUUGUUCUUACGCUGUGCUUCCUGUGUUCCACAGUAAUUGAAUUGUAGCUGCAAUGCAGUUACCAACCAGGAAUACAAUUUCUCAGCCCCACAUCUUGCACCUACAGCUAAGUGUGGCCAUAGGACCAGUUUUCAUCAAUUAAGUGUGAAUAGAGACAAAGUGUACCACCUUCAAUUGGAGACUUUGAAGAAGCAGGGCAGCCAUCCCUUGUUCUCUUUCCCCUUCCGCUGGUGGGAUACAGAUGACAAUAAGGCCUUGGGUUUUGAGGUAGCCACAAGAUGCAAAAUGCCUCAGACCUGAGUCACAACGUGGAAGAGAGAAGCCUACUUACCUGGAACACCCAGCCUGGUCUAUAGAUGACCAAGAAAUAAACUUCUAUUAUGUUUGAACAUUACAGAGUUUGUUCUGUGAUAGUAGUUUAUCUCAUCCUGACUAAACUGUUGCAUAUCUUUCAAGAUAGGCCCUCCUUCCCUGAAAGUGACUUCUUCAUACAUGUAAUCUAUAUUUCAAUUCAUAUUCUCCAAAGCAUAUCUAUAUCUAUUCAACUAUUUUCAU